UGCUCAGCGAUGGAGUGCAGUUUGA
rnacentral:piRNA from 1 species